AGCCCGCUCAAAAAGUUCACGUGAUCGUGAGCAUUUCUUUAGAAAAAAAUGUCAAGUUUAGAGGGGGCAAAGUGGGUGACCACUUUUUUGAUGUACGAUAGGUGUCGAGUGUCCUCGUCAUUGGCGCAAGUCACUGUUACGUAUGCGUACAAUUUUAAUUCAAUAUUUCAAUAAUAAAUCAUUGCAUACGAAAAACGAUUGUGAUCGUAAUCCGUAGAUGGUCUGUCGACUGCCAGCCUAUAUUACUAUUUAUAUUUUUUUAUACAUAUUUUGUAUUGCUAUUAAAGUAAUUUAUUUUACUGUUCGUAACACCACAGAAUAAGACAAUAACACGGUAGUAAAAACGGUUAAGUCAUUAACUAUGGGAUCAAGUCGUUUUCAAGUAAACUUCAUGACUGAUUAAAAUAUGUUUCCAGUAGUUUUAUCCGAUUACUCGGUACCACGAAUUAAGAUAUCUUAAUUUGUGCUCGGUACAAUAUUAAAUUAGCAGAUGGCAGAUCUUUAUUUUGGUAGAAAACUCGGCUAUUAUCAAUUUUUGGAACACAAAUAUAUAAUAAUAUGUCGUUUCGUUUUAUACUUUUUAAAUUAUUAUCAUCGAUAUCGUUUAUGUUGCUAUCUGUAGUUGUAAUUAGUAAAUACCACGGCUUUAGAUAACACAAAAUAUACUCAAAUAUCCACAAAUAUAAUUUAUAAGUCAAUAACGCAAAAACGCAAUAUUAUUAAUUUAAACUACUUAUGUAAUUUUGUUUUGGUCAUAAGCUCAUAACUCAUAACUUAUAAUGACAUGAAGAACUAAGUUUCUUGUCCAUGAACAUUAUCAAACUUUUAAGGUUGUAAAAGGACGCUCAGUGUUAUGGACAUCUCACACAUUUUCUGUCAGAUUUAGCCAAUGGUAAAGUCAUACUACCUUUAGAAAGCGGUAACAAUAUAGAUGCGGUUUCAUAUUGUAUGACCAUGUGCUCAAAAGCUUUAUUUGAAGAUCCUGUAGCAAGCCAUGACUCUACGGACUAGUAUUUUAUAUUAUAAUCCUUUAAUUGAUUCUACAGACUACUAACUGGACCAUCCUAAUUUAACCUAUAAACUAAAAUAUAAUUCAUAUAAGUAACAUCUGACAUUCAAAUGUACUAAUUGAACCACUAAUGACAGUAAUGGACUGUACAUUUAUACAUACCUUGCACAAUGUAUAAACUAUAAUCCCAUUCAUAGGUAACAUUUUGGCAAACCAGUUGCCUUUCUAAUAAUAUUUCAUCUCUACGAAAACAACCACUCACAAAUGACCUCACCCAAAGACACCUGCAAAAUCCAUGUGCCGACCAUAUCAAAUGAGCCAACAUCGAAUAUAGGAGGGCUUGGAACACUGCAUAUACAAAUGUACCAUAGCCGUUCUUAGCCACAUACACUUUCAUACGAUUACUACAUGAAUUAUAUUACUAGAAUAAACAACUAUUUCUUUUAUUAUUCAAAUUGACUACAAACUUAUACAAAUCAUCAUCUUUUGGAUCCCUAACGGGGCCGCAGGUAACAAUCCUCUUAGUAGUUAACGUACAAAAAUAUUAUUGGUCGUGUUUUAACUCUAAGUAUUUCAAUUACGAGAGAAUAAGUAAACACUCAUUUACUGUUAAUGAUUAAAUGUCUUCAAUAGUUAUAGUUAUAUUGUUGAUAAAUUUAGUUAUAAAUGUAUAAUACUUUAGAUAAUUUUUGUAAUUAAGUGUCAUGGUUUUUAAGUAAUUAUAUAUAAUUUUUAUGUUUAUUGUCUAAUAGUGUUGUAUUUUUUUUUAACAUAUGUUGUUCAAUUUUCAAUAUCCUUACUGAUUUCACUGUUGAAUAUAACACUAGUUUCUAAAUAAUAUUAUUAUACAUUUAUAAGCAAUUUAAAGUUUACUGUUAUAUCAAAAACUAUUCAUUUAUAAUAUGUUGUAACAAUGCAAACAUUUUGAGGAAUAUGAUAAUAAAAAUUUUAUUUUGUCUUACAAAUA